ACGGUCCUAAGGUAGCGAAAUUCCUUGUCGGGUAAGUUCCGACCCGCACGAAAGGUGUAACGAUUUGGGCACUGUCUCAACGAGGGACCCGGUGAAAUUGAAAUACCUGUGAAGAUGCAGGUUACCCGCGACUGGACAGAAAGACCCCAUGGAGCUUCACUGCAGCUUGAGAUUGAAUCUCGGUGAUGCAUGCACAGGAUAGGUGGGAGACUUUGAAGUAUGGGCUUUGGCUUAUACUGAGUCGAUGUUGGGAUACCACCCUUGUAUUGCUGAGAUUCUAACACGGAGGCUAACAACCUCGUGGACCAUCUCAGGUAGGCGGUUUGACUGGGGCGGUCGCCUCCGAAAGAGUAACGGAGGCGCCCAAAGGUUCCCUCAGGUCGGACAGAAACCGACCGAAGAGUGCAAAGGCAGAAGGGAGCUUGACUGCGAGACAGACAAGUCGAGCAGAGACGAAAGUCGGGCUUAGUGAUCCGGUGGUACUGUGUGGAAAGGCCAUCGCUCAACGGAUAAAAGCUACCCUGGGGAUAACAGGCUAAUCUCUCCCAAGAGUUCAUAUCGACGGGGAGGUUUGGCACCUCGAUGUCGGCUCAUCACAUCCUGGAGCUGGAGUAGGUUCCAAGGGUUGGGCUGUUCGCCCAUUAAAGUGGUACGCGAGCUGGGUUCAAAACGUCGUGAGACAGUUUGGUUCAUAUCCAUCGCGGGCGCAAGAAGUUUGAGGGAGGCUGCUCCUAGUACGAGAGGACCGGAGUGGACGGAUCAACGGUGUACCAGUUGUCACGCCAGUGGCACGGCUGGAAAGCCGCAUCCGGAAAGGAUAAACGCUGAAAGCAUCUAAGCGUGAAACCAGCCUUAAGAUGAGAUCUCUCAUAGAGCAAUCUAGUAAGACACCUUAAAGAAGAUGAGGUUGAUAGGUCGGGAGUGUAAGUACAGCAAUGUAUUGAGCGGACCGAUACUAAUAUGUCGAGGGCUUGACUUA
rnacentral:rRNA from 1 species